rnacentral:rRNA from 1 species
CAGCCGCCACGGGAAUACGGAGGGUGCAAGCGUUAAUCGGAAUUACUGGGCGUAAAGCGCACGCAGGCGGUCUGACAAGUCAGAUGUGAAAUCCCCGGGCUUAACCUGGGAACUGCAUUUGAAACUGUCAGGCUGGAGUCUUGUAGAGUGGGGUGGAAUUCCAGGUGUAGCGGUGAAAUGCGUAGAGAUCUGGAGGAAUACCGGUGGCGAAGGCGGCCCCCUGGACAAAGACUGACGCUCAGGUGCGAAAGCGUGGGGAGCAAACAGGAUUAGAUACCCGAGUAGUCCCUGUCUCUUAUAC